AUCCUACGGGAGGCAGCAGUGGGGAAUCUUGCGCAAUGGGCGGAAGCCUGACGCAGCGACGCCGCGUGCGGGACGAAGGCCUUCGGGUCGUAAAACGCUUUCAGCAGGGACGAGGCCCUCACGGUGUCGGUACCUGCAGAAGAAGCACCGGCUGACUACGUGCCAGCAACCGCGGUACUACGUAGGGGGCGAGCGUUAUCCGGAUUCAUUGGGCGUAGAACGCGCGUAGGCGGCCUGUUAGGUCGGGGGCCAAAUACCGGGACGCAACC
rnacentral:rRNA from 1 species